UCUUUGGUCGUAAUGUAGUA
rnacentral:siRNA from 1 species